GCUAGGAAGUUUAGGAAGAUUCGUUAUUUAAUUCAGUUUACGCGGAAAAGAUAUGUUACCUUUUGAAAUAUUUUAUUUUAUACGUGGUAUAUGAAUUAUAAUUUAAUUAAAAUUUGAUAAAUUUAAAGGUGAUAUAAAGAAAUGCAGCAGAUAAAAGGUGAUAUACUAAUCGUAAUUGUUUUACCUUGACUUUGAGCGUCAAAAUUUUCUGUGGGUUCUGCAGGUGCUGACGUGGAUGUGGAGAUUUCGUCAUUUUUCUUCGUAGAUAAUAAUUACCUGUGCAAUAAUGGAAGCUACUUUUUCUUUAUCUAUUGCUGUAUGGAUUCGUUUAUUUUUCAAGUGAUGUGGAGUAUCUCUACGAUGGAGUCUAUUUGGUCUAUUUGAAUCACCACUACCAUCAUAAUCAAUACCUUCUACAAUAGAAAAUUCGACAUGUC